AGUACAAUGCUAACUAACUUUUGCUAAUUAUUUUACAGGCCUCGUGAACAUAUGUAAUCGCAAUUAAUUAAUUUGGGGCGUACCUGCUGGCGCUGCACCGGUGGAGCUCCGUAUUUCAAGUAUGGCGUGCUUAAUGCCUGAAAUUAAAUCACAGAAACAUAAUUAAUUACAUAAAAUUCUGAUAAAGAUUUGAUGAUUUAUUUAUGCAUGAGAUUGGGCUUAAGUCUCAACUAAUUAACAUACAUUGACUUGAUCGUGGAGAAACUUGAUGUACUCAAUAGCUUCGUGGAGGACCGAUGCAGUAUCAGUCUGAAAGGAUGAAAAUUAAGGCCAACUAAAACAAUUAUUCACAAAGCUUAAUAGAUCGAGUUGUACCUUAAAGGUUGGCAACGGGGACGGAGUUUCGAUUCGUGGACGUUUAAAUGCGGGUUCGUUGCUUGCUUUCUUCACCACCGUGGCGGCUAAGUCCUUGCCUUGUUCAUGCUGCUUUUUUUCAAUUAAUUAAUUCAGCUGGAAAACCCAAAAUCUGAAUGAUACGAAUGCAAGCAUUGUAUAUGUAUUACCUUAGUAGCGAUGCUGUGAAUCUGAUUGGUGAGAGAUGACGGAAAGAAGUGAUCAGAUGGUGGGAAAGUGGGAGAUGCAUUCCAUAAGCGAUUAGCAGUGGGGGAGGGUUUAGGCAAGAAUCCAUUUGAAUUAAUCUGAUGAGCAUCUGCGGCAGCAACCGAGGAGUAACUCAAUGCCGUUUGAUGAUCUAAUAAAGAUGGGUGGGGUUGAGAAUCUGUAUCGAACAGAGUCUGCAACAAGGAUGAAGCGUAGCUAUAGGAUUCAGCUGAACCAAAACAUUGAUUCGCUUGCUUCAUGGAUGAAUCUUCUCCACUGAAAUUCUUUAUUUGAGUGGUGGUUGAAUCGAGCAACAAGUUAGAAUAGUUGUCCUCUGAUCUUCCGCUAUCUCGGCUGCAACACGACAAGUAGAAAAAUAUGAGUCUCUUGCAUAAUUUCCAUCUCCUUUUCCGGGUGAUAUAUAACAAGUCCAAAAACACUCCGCUUUUUGAGUGCACCGCUGAAUUUUCUAUUAGGGUUAGCCAUCCAUUAUUAGUGGGACAACACUACACCUUCAGGCUUCAUCAAUCACAAAUUUUUAUUAAAGAAAAGACAGAAAAUUAAAUAUUACUACUCACAGCAAAUCUUGAUUCCAGGCGUCCGAGGGUGAAAGGCCGAGUCCCAUCAUGGCGGCGUCGGGAGGCGGCUGGUGAUCUUGUAUUACUAGGGAGCUGCUUCCGUCGGAGGCGGCGGAUUCAUCGCUUGAGCGUACACUUGUUGUCGGCCAGCCGUCGUUGGACGCCAACGAGCAUGGCGACCAACUGAAGAGAUUUCGCGGCGAAUUCCACCAGCUUACUCCCCCUUGGAGGAACUCUUCUGCCAUAUUGCCAACUGAAUGAAAUUUCGUCUUCCUUCUCACUCAAAUUGAAAUCUUGAGUUGGGCAGUGAAUUGUAUGGCUUGUGAUGUGUGGCUCUAUUAUAUAUAUAUAUGUUGUAGGUACGGACGGCUGACUCAAACUAGCGGAUGGAAUCCGGUCCCGACACUUUAAUCCUACUGGUUUUGAUAGGCAAUGCAUAUUAAUGAGGAAAUACAUUCCCAGUGGUUGGUUUUCAGAUUAUAAAAUUCUGUAUAACAUUAUUAAUUAAAGAGAAUUUCGGGUAGAAUUCUUUGUCUGAA